rnacentral:rRNA from 1 species
GACGAACGCUGGCGGCGUGCUUAACACAUGCAAGUCGAACGAAGCUUGAUUACGGAUUCUUCGGAUGAAGUAUGAUAUGACUGAGUGGCGGACGGGUGAGUAACGCGUGAGUAACCUGCCCUUCAGAGGGGGAUAGCGUUUGGAAACGAACGGUAAUACCGCAUAAUGUAUUUUGACCGCAUGAUCGAAAUACCAAAGAUUUAUCGCUGAAGGAUGGACUCGCGUCUGAUUAGGUAGUUGGUGGGGUAACGGCCUGCCAAGCCGACGAUCAGUAGCCGGACUGAGAGGUUGAUCGGCCACAUUGGGACUGAGACACGGCCCAGACUCCUACGGGAGGCAGCAGUGGGGAAUAUUGCACAAUGGGCGCAAGCCUGAUGCAGCAACGCCGCGUGAAGGAAGACGGUUUUCGGAUUGUAAACUUCUGUUCUUAGUGAAGAAUAAUGACGGUAGCUAAGGAGCAAGCCACGGCUAACUACGUG